AAUCAACGCUGGCGGCGUGCCUAACACAUGCAAGUCGAACGCGAAAGUCCCGAAAGGGAUCAGUAGAGUGGCAAACGGGUGAGUAACACGUGGGUGACCUGCCUUCGAGUGGGGGAUAACGUCCCGAAAGGGACGCUAAUACCGCAUAACAUCCUGCCUUUGAACAGGUGGAGAUCAAAGCUGGGGAUCGCAAGACCUAGCGCUCAAAGAGGGGCCCGCGUCUGAUUAGCUAGUUGGUGGGGUAAUGGCUCACCAAGGCUACGAUCAGUAUCCGGCCUAAGAGGGCGGACGGACACACUGGGACUGAGACACGGCCCAGACUCCUACGGGAGGCAGCAGUGGGGAAUUGUUCGCAAUGGGCGCAAGCCUGACGACGCAACGCCGCGUGGAGGAUGAAGACC
rnacentral:rRNA from 1 species